AGGAAACCUAAGAUACGUAUUGGAGAAACGAAGGAGGGAAGAGGUGAUUUUGCCACUGCAAUGCCCAACCCACCGAUCUUGCCGGAGAACGAUCAAGCAUCGAACUUGUUUUUGCUCCGACAGGAAGGGGAAUAAGAGCUAAUGGAACUCACAAUUGACAAAGAAAAAAUAGAGAAAACUUAUGGGGAUGAGCAUUGCAGAGCUACCACUCUCAUAAAGGACAAAGAUUAAACCUUCUCAAAAGUGUUUUCCGAUGGCUAUUUGAUUUAUAAAGCAUCAUCAGCUAACAAGGCAAGUAGACUAGCUAACCACGAAGGCAAAGGUGAAAUCAUUUAGUGGUGAAAUCGGCAGAGAAUAGCUCAACUCUCUGGGGAAAUGUAUUUACACAAAAUGUGUACUCUUGAGGGAAAAUCUCAAAAUCCAUUUCUGCGCCGCGACACUUAUGGGGUAAAGGAUGAAUUUGGUUUGAAAGAAUUGAAACUUUUAUGGAGAAUUCUUUUUGUUUGAUCUGGUUCAUUUCCUUGCAAGUGGUUGUUGAACCUGCUUUCUGGCCAGAAACCAAUGUUAAAUGUGGCAGAACACGUAUGGUUCCAAUUCAAAAAUGCAAUUCUUGUGGUUUUUUUGUGUGUGUGUGUGUGUGUGUGUGUGUGUGUGUGUGUGUGGAAAGGGGAACAAG